AGCAGUAGCCGCGGUAAUACGAAGGUGGCAAGCGUUGUCCGGAAUUAUUGGGCGUAAAGCGCGCGCAGGUGGUUUAAUAAGUCUGAUGUGAAAGCCCACGGCUCAACCGUGGAGGGUCAUUGGAAACUGUUAAACUUGAGUGCAGGAGAGAAAAGUGGAAUUCCUAGUGUAGCGGUGAAAUGCGUAGAGAUUAGGAGGAACACCAGUGGCGAAGGCGGCUUUUUGGCCUGUAACUGACACUGAGGCGCGAAAGCGUGGGGAGCAAACAGGAUUAGAUACCCGCGUAGUCCCUGUCUCUUAUAC
rnacentral:rRNA from 1 species